rnacentral:rRNA from 1 species
UACGAAGGGGGCUAGCGUUGCUCGGAAUCACUGGGCGUAAAGGGUGCGUAGGCGGGUCUUUAAGUCAGGGGUGAAAUCCCAGAGCUCAACUCUGGAACUGCCUUUGAUACUGGGUGUCUUGAGUAUGGAAGAGGUGAGUGGAAUUCCAGGUGGUAGCGGUGAAAUGCGUAGAGAUGUGGAGGAAUACCGAUGGCGAAGGCAGCCCCCUGGGAUAACGACUGACGCUCAUGCACGAAAGCGUAGGGGAGCGAAACAG